UGUGUGGGUUUAUUCAUGCUUCUGCAAUGAAGACCCUGAAUGACGGACUUCUUUUCUCUCUUUGGAAACCACCAUGAUAUUCCACUUUCAGGUUUCCAGCAUUUUUCUAAAUAUCAGAAGAAGAAAAACACAAACAAAAAGAAGAUGAGUAAAUGAUGACGCAAUUUAGAAUUUUUGGGUGAACUGUCUCUUUAAGCCAGUCCAAUCCUGAACAGAUUGACUGCACUGCAAGCUGGACAAAAGCUUGGCAAAUCCCAUGGAACAAGUCGACUCACUGCAGUGUUUACAACUGGUGUGUAUCAUAUACCUGUAUUUCACUCAACUUUUUUCUAUCUUCACCUAUUUUUUUAUUUUUGGACCAUGGCGGAGUAGACCAGAUUAAAAAGGUCACCUGACCAUCACACAAAACAUACCUGAUUUUUUUUUUCAUUUGACAAUUUCUUUGUUGUUGUUUUACAUUCCAUCAAAUUAGCAAUUGUUUCACUCAAAUCAUUAAUCUAAUGUGCAUUAUUGUGAAAGCCAAGAUAGAUAAUCUACAGUAAACUGGUCAUUUUAACAACAAAAAAAAAUUUGUGACAAAUCAGUGUGUAACACAAUAAACUACAUAAAAUCAA